GAGAAAUGCUCAGUGAGACACAAUCAGAAUGACCCGAGUUUCAGUGCUGGGUACUAUCGCACCCAUCUUCUUGUAGGAGAAAAACAAAACAGUCACAGCUGGUAAAUAGAGAGCCACAUCACACUGCAGAACCCAUGGACCUCAAUGCUGCAAGAAGCUGGCAAGUAAAGCUGUGGCUGGAUUGAUUGAUUUAUUCAUAGCUGAGCAGGAGCCAUGUGAUAAUUUUUUUUUCUAAUCAACAUUAUCUGUAGUUUUCAUAACUACCAGCCAGCUUCCACUGGGACAAGUGUCCACUGUGCAAACAGCUCCAAUACAACUGGCACUGCCAAGUACCACCAUGAGACCAACCAGGGCAUUUUGGGCCAGGGGGCUCCAACAGCAGAAGCAGCGAGGCCUUAUAGGUCUGCUUUAAAAUCAGGUCCAAGGCAAGUAAAGAGUUAC